ensembl:lncRNA
CGAACGUACCCCAGUGCUGCCCUACACAUGAGACUGUUUUCCAGAUGUUACUCUUGUUUGGUUUGUUGAUGUUUGCAAGUUUUUGUUUAAGUUUUCAUUCUUUAUGAGAUUUUAACUUGUUGAACUGGCGGCUGAGGCACUUUUGCUCUGUGGCGAAUGCUUUAUCUACAGGACACAAGUUCUUGUUGUUGUUGUGUCUAAAAUUGAGCCGAUGGAAAUGAUAAGGCAAGUAAAGCAGACAAUACCAGCAUUGCAUGCAGCGAAGAUGGGAAUGCAUAGUCCUGACAGCACAGAGGUGGGAGUGUGAUGAUAUGGGGCUGCAUGAGUGCAAAAGGUUUUGGCCGAAGAGGAUCAAGGAAUUCGUCCGAUAUCGCCAUAAAAACCUGCUCAGCCCAAAAAGAUGUCCGUUCAAAGAAGACAUGCCAUGAUGAUUUAUUUGUAUCUGUUACUCAACUUCGUUCUGUGUGAGGAAGUCACCCCACUGAUAGGGAGAAUCAUAACUCCCGAAGGCGGGACAGAGGCCAGGGAAUACCAGUGUGUCGCCGAUGCCAACUCCGCACCAACAAGCUUCGUGUGGAGAUACCAGGGCCAGGCCUUGCCUGAUGGUGUGAGACCCGAGGGGGACAGACUGCACUUCCUCGAGUUGAACUCUGACCUUAACGGCGAGUAUAGCUGUGAGGUCACAAACCCAUAUGGGACGGCUGUGUACUCCAUAUAUCGCCACAUAGUUGACCCCGACGACACCCACAAUGAACUUUGACUGCUGCCCUGAUUUGUCAUUGUGGCUUUCUCUGGACCUGGCUGAAGAAGUCCAAAGUAUCAUGUCUGGCUCAAGUCUGGCUCUGGCUUGUAAUAUACUAGACUUCACAUGCAUAUACUUUCAUUCAUAUACUUGCUUUAUGCAUUAUUUAUUUAUCUUUGAUAUUCCAUCCAUUGCAAGCAGCUUCUUAGCCAAAUCCCAGUGCACUUGAGUGAUGUUAGAACAUACACACCUUCCUCUAUAAU